rnacentral:rRNA from 1 species
GACGUAGGGCGCGAGCGUUGUCCGGAUUUAUUGGGCGUAAAGAGCUCGUAGGCGGCUUGUCACGUCGGCUGUGAAAACCUGGGGCUCAACCCCGGGCCUGCAGACGAUACGGGCUAGCUAGAAUUCGGUAGGGGAGACUGGAAUUCCUGGUGUAGCGGUGAAAUGCGCAGAUAUCAGGAGGAACACCGGUGGCGAAGGCGGGUCUCUGGGCCGAUAUUGACGCUGAGGAGCGAAAGCGUGGGGAGCAAACAGG